rnacentral:rRNA from 1 species
UACGGGGGGUGCGAGCGUUGUCCGGAAUCACUGGGCGUAAAGGGCGCGUAGGCGGUUUGAUAAGGGUGUGGUGAAAGUCCGGAGCUCAACUCCGGAUCUGCCGUGCCGACUGUCAAACUCGAGGGCUGUAGAGGCAGACGGAAUUCCGGGUGUAGCGGUGGAAUGCGUAGAGAUCCGGAGGAAGACCGGUGGCGAAGGCGGUCUGCUGGGCAGUUUCUGACACUGAGGCGCGACAGCGUGGGGAGCAAACAGG